rnacentral:rRNA from 1 species
GUCUUUUUGUAUUAAAUAUAAAGUCUCGCCUGCCCACUGAUUAAUUUGAAUGGCCGCGGUAUUUUGACCGUGCUAAGGUAGCAUAAUCAUUAGUUUUUUUAUUGAAAGCUGGAAUGAAGGGUUGGAUGAAAAAAAAACUGUCUUUAUUUAAUUUAUAAAGAAUUUUAUUUUUAAGUUAAAAAGCUUAAAUUUUUUUAAAAGACGAGAAGACCCUAUAGAGUUUUAUAAAAUUAUUAAUAAAUUUUUUUAGUAUUAAAUUUAUUUAUAUAAUAAAUUUAUUUAAUUGGGGUGAUUAAAAAAUAAAUUUAACUUUUUUUAUAUUAUUAUAUUAAUUAAUAAUUUUUUGAUCCAAUUUUUUUUUGAUUAUAAGAAUAAAUUACCUUAGGGAUAACAGCGUAAUUUUAUUGGAGAGUUCAAAUCGAUAAUAAAGAUUGCGACCUCGAUGUUGGAUUAAAAUUUAUAAUUGGUGUAGUAGCUAUAUUAUUAAGUCUGUUCGACU